rnacentral:rRNA from 1 species
GUGAGGAAUAUUGGACAAUGGAUGGAAAUCUGAUCCAGCCAUGCCGCGUGCAGGAAGACGGCCCUAUGGGUUGUAAACUGCUUUUAUACGGGAGCAAUAAGGUCUAUGCAUAGAUUGAUGAGAGUACCGUAUGAAUAAGCAUCGGCUAACUCCGUGCCAGCAGCCGCGGUAAUACGGAGGAUGCGAGCGUUAUCCGGAUUUAUUGGGUUUAAAGGGUGCGUAGGCGGCUUUGUAAGUCAGCGGUGAAAGUUUGCAGCUUAACUGUAAAAGCGCCGUUGAUACUGUGAAGCUAGGAUUUGGUUGCUGUGGGCGGAAUGUGUGGUGUAGCGGUGAAAUGCAUAGAGAUCACACAGAAUAUCGAUUGCGAAGGCAGCUCACAAAGCCAAUAUUGACGCUGAGGCACGAAAGUGUGGGGAUCAAACAGGAUUAGAUACCCGUGUAGUCC